UACGUAGGGUGCAAGCGUUGUCCGGAAUUAUUGGGCGUAAAGAGCUCGUAGGCGGUUUGUUGCGUCGGCUGUGAAAUCCCGAGGCUCAACCUCGGGUCUGCAGUCGAUAGGAGCAAACUAGAGUGUUGCAGGGGAGACUGGAAUUCCUGGUGUAGCGGUGAAAUGCGCAGAUAUCAGGAGGAACACCGGUGGCGAAGGCGGGUCUCUGGGCAACAACUGACGCUGAGGAGCGAAAGCGUGGGGAGCAAACAGG
rnacentral:rRNA from 1 species